UCCUCUUGGGCCUCUGGUCGUCUUCCAUGCCUAGCAUCAUAGGGAAAAACAGCUGGAGCAAUUGAAGUUAGGGUUAAGGAUCUCAAGGGCUUGGACUUCUCAGAGAUGAAGAUCUGGAUCACUCCAUCAGGCAAGCAACGAAGACCAGAUGAAAUGCUGCUUGAAGGGCUGGCAUAUCUAGAAUUGGUGGUAGAAAUAUCUUUGCUUGAAAGUUUGCUCAAGAAACACCAUGCAUAUUUGACAUCAUAAGGAAAGAAAUGAGCAGAACCAUACAUCCAACUUACAUUGCAAUUACUGCAGAGGAAGAGAGAUGGAGAAGUUAAAAUGAAACAUUUCAAGGAUGAAUGGGCACUGAAAAUUGGUAAAGUGGCAGAAAAGUCCAAGCUUGAAGAAUGAAAAAGUAAAUGUAUGGAGAAAAAGGAGUUUGGAAAACAGGAAAAAAAAAGAUAUUUUGCAGAAACA
rnacentral:lncRNA from 1 species